GCAGAGUGAAACUAAGGGUUUAGUUCUGGAGGCAUUAUGUUGGUGGCCGUGGGAGGAAGUCAGUCAAUCAUUUAGUUCUGCUGAGAUAAGCUUGGACCCAGUCGAAAGAAAGGAACAGUUUUUCCCAUGACUACAAGAAGUCUCCCACAACUUGAUCUUCCAUCAAAAUGGAGCUUUGGCUGCCUUCUAUCAAACAUCUGAAGGCCCAUUUUAAUCAAAGUUUUGAUGUCCUCUAAAACAGAUGCCACCAGGUUCCCAA
rnacentral:lncRNA from 1 species